rnacentral:rRNA from 1 species
CCCUUAGAUGUUCUGGGCCGCACGCGCGCUACACUGAUGCAUUCAACGAGUGUACCUUGGCCGAGAGGCCUGGGCAAUCUUUUGAACGUGCAUCGUGAUAGGGAUAGAUUAUUGCAAUUAUUAAUCUUGAACGAGGAAUUCCUAGUAAACGCAGAUCAUCAAUCUGCAUUGAUUACGUCCCUGCCCUUUGUACACACCGCCCGUCGCGCCUACCGAUUGGAUGGUCCGGUGAAGCCUCGGGAUUGUGGCGGUUGCCUUUAUUGGUGGCCGCCGCGAGAACUUGUCUAAACCUUAUCAUCUAGAGGAAGGUGAAGUCGUANCA